rnacentral:rRNA from 1 species
GUGAGGAAUAUUGCGCAAUGGAGGCAACUCUGACGCAGCCAUGCCGCGUGCAGGAAGAAGGCGCUACGCGUUGUAAACUGCUUUUAACCGGGAAGAAACCCCAGGACGUGUCCUGGGUUGACGGUACCGGAGGAAUAAGCACCGGCUAACUUCGUGCCAGCAGCCGCGGUAAUACGAAGGGUGCAAGCGUUAUCCGGAUUCAUUGAGUUUAAAGGGUGCGUAGGCGGAGCGUUAAGUCAGUGGUGAAAUCCUGCAGCUUAACUGUAGACUUGGCAUUGAUACUGGCGCUCUUGAGUGCGCUUGAAGUGGGCGGAAUGUGCCGUGUAGCGGUGAAAUGCUUAGAUAUGGCACAGAACACCAAUUGCGAAGGCAGCUCACUAAGGCGAUACUGACGCUGAGGCACGAAAGCGUGGGGAUCGAACAGGAUUAGAAACCCCUGUAGUCC